rnacentral:rRNA from 1 species
GGUCAAGCUACUAAGGGCACACGGUGGAUGCCUUGGCGCCAGAGGCCGAUGAAGGACGUGGCAAGACUGCGAAAAGCUCGGGCUAGCUGUCUAGCAAGCUCAACCCGAGAUCUCCGAAUGGGGCAACCCGGCCCGGGUCAUACCGGGUCACCGCCAGCCGAACACAUAGGCUGGAUGGAGGGCACCGGGGGAACUGAAACAUCUCAGUACCCCGAGGAAAAGAAAGUAUUCUCCUAGUAGCGGCGAGCGAACGGGGAACAGCCCAAACCGAUGUCUUCGGAUGUCGGGGUUGUAGGACGGGUCAUUGGAGUUACAAAUCAGCUGGGUAGCGGAAAGGCCUGGAACGGCCUGCCACAGGGGGUGAGAGCCCCGUACGCGAAACUCAGCUGACUCCGAUCCGUAUCCUGAGUACCACGGGACACGAGAAAUCCAGUGGGAAUCUGGGGAGACCACUCUCCAAGGCUAAAUACUUCUGGCGACCGAUAGUGAACAAGUACCGUGAGGGAAAGGUGAAAAGCACCCCGGGAGGGGAGUGAAAUAGUCCCUGAAACCGUGUGCCUACAAGCAGUCAGAGCCUGGCUUGUCCGGGUGAUGGCGUGCCUAUUGAAGAAUGAGCCGACGAGUUACGUUCAGUGGCAAGGUUAAGUCAUGUGAGUGACGGAGCCGUAGCGAAAGCGAGUCUGAAUAGGGCAUUCAGUCGCUGGACGUAGACCCGAAACCGAGUGAUCUACCCAUGGGCAGUGUGAAGCGAGAGUAAUGUCUCGUGGAGGCGCGAACCUUCCUGCGUUGCAAAGCAGUUGGAUGACCUGUGGGUAGCGGUGAAAUGCCAAUCGAACUCGGAGAUAGCUGGUUCUCCCCGAAAUGCAUCUAGGUGCAGCCUCGAGUGUUUUCCGAUGGGGGUAGAGCUCUGGUUGGGCUAGGGGGCAUAGCGCUUACCAAACCCAGUCAAACUGCGAAUACCGUCGGAUGAGAGCUCGGGAGUGAGACAGUGGGUACUAAGAUCCAUUGUCAAAAGGGAAACAACCCAGACCCUCAGCUAAGGUCCCUAAGUCCAUGCUCAGUGUUAAAGGAUGUCUGGUCGCACAGACAGCCAGGAUGUUGGCUUAGAAGCAGCCACCAUUAAAAGAGUGCGUAACAGCUCACUGGUCGAGUGGCCGGGCGCCGACAAUGUAUCGGGGCUCAAGCAUGGCACCGAAGCUAGGGAAUAGGCCGCAAGGUCUAUUGGUAGGGGAGCGUUCUGUAGGCAGUGAAGCCGGCGGGGUGACCCCUGGUGGAGCGUACAGAAGUGAGAAUGUCGGCAUGAGUAGCGUAAUUCAGGUGAGAAACCUGGACGCCGUAAGCCUGAGGUUUCCUACGCAAGGUUAUUCCGCGUAGGGUUAGGCGGGCCUAAGCCGAGGGCGAGAGCCGUAGGCGAUGGACAGCAGGUUAGUAUUCCUGCCCCGCUGCAGUAGCGUUUGAGACGAGAGGCGUGACCCGGGAGGAUAGUCAGGACGGGUCUUGUGGACAUGGCCCGAGAGGCACCGUAGGCAUCUGGUGGUAGGCAAAUCCGCCGCCAGGCUAAGCGGAGGGUGCAUUAGUAAGUGGAGACUUCGGUCAAAACGAUGCCCUGAUGAGUCCAUGCCGGCUAGAAAAGCGUCGUCGUCGAGUUACUGUGGCGCCCGUACCGCAAACCGACACUGGUGGGCGACGGUAAGUACCGUAAGGCGUUCGAGAGAACCCUCGUUAAGGAACUCUGCAAAUUGGCUCCGUAACUUCGGGAGAAGGAGCGCCCCUGGAGGUGAAGGACUUUACGUCCGGAGCGUCCGGGGGCCGCAGCGAGCCGGCCCAGGCGACUGUUUAACAAAAACACAGGUCUCUGCGAACCCGUAAGGGGAAGUAUAGGGGCUGACACCUGCCCAGUGCCGGAAGGUUAAAGGGAGGGCUGAGAGGCCUGAACUGAAGCCCCGGUGAACGGCGGCCGUAACUAUAACGGUCCUAAGGUAGCGAAAUUCCUUGUCGGGUAAGUUCCGACCCGCACGAAUGGUGUAACGAUCUGGGCGCUGUCUCGACGAGGGACUCGGCGAAAUUGAGUUGGCCGUGAAGACGCGGCCUACCCGCAGCAGGACAAAAAGACCCCGUGGAGCUUUACUGCAACUUGACAUUGAAGUCCGGGCUAGGAUGCGUAGGAUAGGUGGGAGGCUUUGAUCCGUUCAUUUCGGUGGGCGGUGAGCCAACGGUGAAAUACCACUCUUCCUAGUUUGUACUUCUAACCGGCGAGCAAGCGCUGGGACAAUGUCUGGUGGGCAGUUUGACUGGGGCGGUCGCCUCCAAAAAUGUAACGGAGGCGCGCAACGGUUCCCUCAGGGUGGAUGGUAAUCACCCGUUGAGUGCAUUGGCAUAAGGGAGCUUGACUGCAAGACUGACGCGUCGAGCAGGGACGAAAGUCGGCCAAAGUGAUCCUAUGGUCCCGUGUGGAAGGGCCAUGGCUUAUCGGAUAAAAGCUACCCCGGGGAUAACAGGCUGAUCCUACCCAAGAGUUCACAUCGACGGUAGGGUUUGGCACCUCGAUGUCGGCUCGUCGCAUCCUGGGGCUGAAUCAGGUCCCAAGGGUUGGGCUGUUCGCCCAUUAAAGCGGUACGCGAGCUGGGUUCAGAACGUCGUGAGACAGUUCGGUCUCUAUCCGCUGUGGGCGCAAGUAGCUUGAGGAGAUCUGCCCCUAGUACGAGAGGACCGGGGUGGACGGACCUCUGGUGUGCCGGUUGUUCCGCCAGGAGCAUCGCCGGGUAGCCAUGUCCGGAACGGAUAACCGCUGAAAGCAUCUAAGCGGGAAGCCGACUUCAAGAUGAGGCUACUCACCGGGUUAACCGGGUAAGACCGCGGGAAGACUACCCGCUUGAUAGGCCAGAGGUGUACGCACAGCAAUGUGUUCAGCUGACUGGUACUAAUGGUCGAGGGCUUGACCUU